GGUUAAGCGACUAAGCGUACACGGUGGAUGCCCCGGCAGUCAGAGGCGAUGAAGGGCGUGCUAAUCUGCGAUAAGCGCCGGUAAGGUGAUAUGAACCGUUAUAACCGGCGAUACCCGAAUGGGGAAACCCAGUGUGAUUCGUCACACUAUCAUUAACUGAAUCCAUAGGUUAAUGAGGCGAACCGGGGGAACUGAAACAUCUAAGUACCCCGAGGAAAAGAAAUCAACCGAGAUUCCCCCAGUAGCGGCGAGCGAACGGGGAGGAGCCCAGAGCCUGAAUCAGCAUGUGUGUUAGUGGAAGCGUCUGGAAAGGCGCGCGAUACAGGGUGACAGCCCCGUACACAAAAGCGCAUGUGCUGUGAGCUCGAUGAGUAGGGCGGGACACGUGGUAUCCUGUCUGAAUAUGGGGGACCAUCCUCCAAGGCUAAAUACUCCUGACUGACCGAUAGUGAACCAGUACCGUGAGGGAAAGGCGAAAAGAACCCCGGCGAGGGGAGUGAAAAAGAACCUGAAACCGUGUACGUACAAGCAGUGGGAGCACCCUUCGGGGUGUGACUGCGUACCUUUUGUAUAAUGGGUCAGCGACUUAUAUUCUGUAGCAAGGUUAACCGUAUAGGGGAGCCGGAGGGAAACCGAGUCUUAACCGGGCGUUAAGUUGCAGGGUAUAGACCCGAAACCCGGUGAUCUAGCCAUGGGCAGGUUGAAGGUUGGGUAACACUAACUGGAGGACCGAACCGACUAAUGUUGAAAAAUUAGCGGAUGACCUGUGGCUGGGGGUGAAAGGCCAAUCAAACCGGGAGAUAGCUGGUUCUCCCCGAAAGCUAUUUAGGUAGCGCCUCGUGAAUUCAUCUCCGGGGGUAGAGCACUGUUUCGGCUAGGGGGCCAUCCCGGCUUACCAACCCGAUGCAAACUGCGAAUACCGGAGAAUGUUAUCACGGGAGACACACGGCGGGUGCUAACGUCCGUCGUGAAGAGGGAAACAACCCAGACCGCCAGCUAAGGUCCCAAAGUCAUGGUUAAGUGGGAAACGAUGUGGGAAGGCCCAGACAGCCGGGAUGUUGGCUUAGAAGCAGCCAUCAUUUAAAGAAAGCGUAAUAGCUCACUGGUCGAGUCGGCCUGCGCGGAAGAUGUAACGGGGCUAAACCAUGCACCGAAGCUGCGGCAGCGAACGUAUCACCCAAGACAACUUUACGGAGUUGACGAUUGACGGAGCGAAGCGACGUCAAAGCGUUCAUUAAAGUCGAGUUGGCUUAGGGAUACGUUCGUUGGGUAGGGGAGCGUUCUGUAAGCCUGUGAAGGUGUGUCGUGAGGCAUGCUGGAGGUAUCAGAAGUGCGAAUGCUGACAUAAGUAACGAUAAAGCGGGUGAAAAGCCCGCUCGCCGGAAGACCAAGGGUUCCUGUCCAACGUUAAUCGGGGCAGGGUGAGUCGACCCCUAAGGCGAGGCCGAAAGGCGUAGUCGAUGGGAAACGGGUUAAUAUUCCCGUACUUGGUGUUACUGCGAAGGGGGGACGGAGAAGGCUAUGUUGGCCGGGCGACGGUUGUCCCGGUUUAAGCGUGUAGGUGUGUGUUCCGGUAAAUCCGGUUCACUUUAACACUGAGGCGUGACGACGAGGCACUACGGUGCUGAAGCAACAAAUGCCCUGCUUCCGGGAAAAGCCUCUAAGCAUCAGGUAACAUCAAAUCGUACCCCAAACCGACACAGGUGGUCAGGUAGAGAAUACCAAGGCGCUUGAGAGAACUCGGGUGAAGGAACUAGGCAAAAUGGUGCCGUAACUUCGGGAGAAGGCACGCUGACACGUAGGUGAAGUGAUUUACUCAUGGAGCUGAAGUCAGUCGAAGAUACCAGCUGGCUGCAACUGUUUAUUAAAAACACAGCACUGUGCAAACACGAAAGUGGACGUAUACGGUGUGACGCCUGCCCGGUGCCGGAAGGUUAAUUGAUGGGGUCAGCGCAAGCGAAGCUCCUGAUCGAAGCCCCGGUAAACGGCGGCCGUAACUAUAACGGUCCUAAGGUAGCGAAAUUCCUUGUCGGGUAAGUUCCGACCUGCACGAAUGGCGUAAUGAUGGCCGGGCUGUCUCCACCCGAGACUCAGUGAAAUUGAACUCGCUGUGAAGAUGCAGUGUACCCGCGGCAAGACGGAAAGACCCCGUGAACCUUUACUAUAGCUUGACACUGAACAUUGAGCCUUGAUGUGUAGGAUAGGUGGGAGGCUUUGAAGUGUGGACGCCAGUCUGCAUGGAGCCGACCUUGAAAUACCACCCUUUAAUGUUUGAUGUUCUAACGUGGACCCGUAAUCCGGGUUGCGGACAGUGUCUGGUGGGUAGUUUGACUGGGGCGGUCUCCUCCUAAAGAGUAACGGAGGAGCACGAAGGUUGGCUAAUCCUGGUCGGACAUCAGGAGGUUAGUGCAAUGGCAUAAGCCAGCUUGACUGCGAGCGUGACGGCGCGAGCAGGUGCGAAAGCAGGUCAUAGUGAUCCGGUGGUUCUGAAUGGAAGGGCCAUCGCUCAACGGAUAAAAGGUACUCCGGGGAUAACAGGCUGAUACCGCCCAAGAGUUCAUAUCGACGGCGGUGUUUGGCACCUCGAUGUCGGCUCAUCACAUCCUGGGGCUGAAGUAGGUCCCAAGGGUAUGGCUGUUCGCCAUUUAAAGUGGUACGCGAGCUGGGUUUAGAACGUCGUGAGACAGUUCGGUCCCUAUCUGCCGUGGGCGCUGGAGAACUGAGGGGGGCUGCUCCUAGUACGAGAGGACCGGAGUGGACGCAUCACUGGUGUUCGGGUUGUCAUGCCAAUGGCACUGCCCGGUAGCUAAAUGCGGAAGAGAUAAGUGCUGAAAGCAUCUAAGCACGAAACUUGCCCCGAGAUGAGUUCUCCCUGAGACUUAGAGUCUCCUGAAGGAACGUUGAAGACGACGACGUUGAUAGGCCGGGUGUGUAAGCGCAGCGAUGCGUUGAGCUAACCGGUACUAAUGAACCGUGAGGCUUAACCUU
rnacentral:rRNA from 1 species